rnacentral:rRNA from 1 species
CACGUAGGGUGCGAGCGUUGUCCGGAAUUAUUGGGCGUAAAGAGCUCGUAGGCGGCUUGUUGCGUCGACUGUGAAAACCUGCGGCUCAACCGUGUGGUCUGCAGUCGAUACGGGCAGGCUGGAGUUCGGUAGGGGAGACUGGAAUUCCUGGUGUAGCGGUGAAAUGCGCAGAUAUCAGGAGGAACACCGGUGGCGAAGGCGGCUUGCUGGGCCAGUUCUGACGCUGAGGCGCGAAAGCUAGGGGUAGCAAACGGG